rnacentral:lncRNA from 1 species
GCUUUCCUUAUGUAAGGGGGGGACACCACAAAUUGGUUGAGUAUGAACUUUUAGUGUGUCAAUAAAGUAUAAUACCUUGUGAACCCUUUUAUAAUGUGUGUAUACCUUUUUCUGAUGGAAUGAAAGGGUACAGUAUCAUUGUAUAAAUAUAUAAAAUAAAAUUAGGCCUGCCUUUAUAGGAUUUUAAAUAGCUAAGUCCUAGGGAUAGCUAGUCAGUUCAAGGGAGUUCCAACCCAAGAGUCAGAAGUCAAGAAAGGAACAGGAUUCUGAGAGGUUAUCACUUUUGGUGGGAAGAUGAAUGUUUUCUCUCCCACUCCUCACCUCCAUCAGCCCAUGGCUCUUUGAGGAAGAAUUAUUCAAUCAAUAGAAGAAGCUAUAUCCACAGAAGCUACAGAAAGAGACACUCCAGACAUAAACAAGUAUGAAGAGGCAAUCACUUGAAGGAGGAAGCAGCUUCAAGGAAUGGAGCCUGUAGCAGUGGACAGGACAUCUGGCUGUAUAGAGAGGAGUACAUUACUGGAACCCAGCUGAUCAAUAAGCCCAGCUGCAUCUAAGGGGAACUUCACAAGGGCUUGGAAAAGAGAGAAAGUACUUGUAGGCCUUGGAUUAGAAAGAUCAGAAAACUGCCUUCUCCACAUAUGAGAGUAAAGUUAGCCCAGACCAGAGGAGAUGAGCUGGCUUUGGCUGCAAUUCAGAUGUCGUGCUUAAAACAUUCAUAUGGUGCCCAGAGGGGUCUCAAUAAAUAUUGAGGACAAGAAUAAUGAUGAAUCACUUUUCUCAAUAAUUAGGAAAUCUACAAUGCACCAAUUUUUGGCAAACCUCCAAAGAGGUGUUGCAUCUACAGCUGCUUCUACUCAUCCAGGGAAAGGUGAUUGUGAGAAAGGACUCAGCCAAGAGCCAGUGUGACUGCAAUCAUUUCAUCCUUGCCCUUUCUAAACAGAAGCCUGUUCCAGUUCCAGUACAAUGAAUACAUUGUGAUCCUUCUGCAUCAGGAAACUUGACAUGUCAUUAAUUGGAAUGUUUACUUUUUUUCACUGUAAGAUGGUUGUGGAAUAAUUGAUUACAUCCCCUAUGAACAGAAGGGACACAUGCAGGAAAGGGCAUUUGAGGGAGAAAAACAAGUCAUAUAAACCAUAUAAACACAAACUGAGGGAUUUCUGACAAAGUGCAAGUCUAACAGAAUGUUAUCUAGAGCUCACUGAGUACAAGUUAGAUGUAAAUUCAUAAUGCAACAUGGGGUGAUCUUCCCAUUAUAGGUCUCCCCUGAGCAAACCUUUAUUAGAAUUUUAGGUCUGACUCCAUAAUUAAAGAGUUAUCUGAAGAAUUUGACUUAGUUUCAGAGGCAAAGAUAAAUUAAAACUUAAAAUAGCAAAAACCAAUAAGCAAAGAUGAAAGGACCUGGAAUUAUUCAACCCAGAAAAGAGAAGGCUGAGUGAUAAUUUAGUUAAGAGCCUUCAAAUACUUGAAUGAACAGUAAUUCUUCCAUAGCUCAUUCAUUUAUUCAUUCAACAAGCACCUAUUAAGCACCUAAUCUGUGUCAGACAUGGGACCAUGCACCAGGAAAUAAAGACAAAAAUGAAAAGUCCCUAGUUUCAAAGAGAUUGUAUUCCACUGGUGGAGAAAUGACAUGAACAAAGAUAAAUAAAUCAAAAAGAUAUUCACAGAAAUUUAUUGUAGUAGAGGGAGCAGGAUCAUAAAAUGUCUCAUGAUGGAGGUGGCACAUGAGCUGGGCCCUAAAAGAAGUUAGGGACUCUGCAAAACAGAGUUGAAGAAGAAGUGUGAAGGAGUGUUUCAGGAACAGGAGAUUGCCAUAGCAAAGGUAUGGAAAUGCCAGUGGAAUGCAAAAAAAGGAGAAAAUUAGCUAGAAUGCUGUAUGUGUAACAAAAAGUAAAUGUGCAAUUAAACCUAGAAAAGCAGGCCAUAAUCAGAUGUGAAAGACAUUUUAUUCACAUUUCAUUCUUUCCAUUUUAAACAUAUUUUCACAUUAGUAAUGUUCAAGAAAUCAAAAUAAAAGGAAAAACCAUGAGGAAAAAAAAGUGAAUCCACUUUGAUCCAUAU